UGCAAGUUCCACACCUAUGAUUAAUCGUAAAGGUGCGAUGGUCCAGUGUUUAUGUUUUGACAGCAAACAGUGUGAAUAUGCGUAUAUUGGACAAGGGGUGAAGCAGCUUGGGAAAAAUGUGAGGAAUGAGGAACUCCGAGAAAAACUCACGGAGGGAAAAAAAUGUUAGUUCUACUCAAUACGUGCUUGAAUGGGGGAAGCCAACGAAGGAGUCAAGUGAUGAGGUUUACGUGAUCUGAAAACCAGGAGUGCUGCGGAAUUGGGAACUGAUGGAAGGUCAACUCACGUGUUUAUGACUGGACACUCCUACACCGUGUAGUCACUGUAGUGGGAUGUGCAGAGGUGUGGUGAUGGAGCGCUUUCGAAAUAAACGCACCCACUGGCUGCAGAAGAGUAUAGAAAAAAAACAAAAAAUGACUAGACCUAUUUGCCAGCUCGACCUCUAUGAACAUGAACAUAAACAGGACUCGAAUAGUUGUUAUCAAACACUUUUCUAUGCCCCGCACUUCUAGAAAAUGUUUAAUUACAAAAAGUAACAUCACAUUUGAAGAUUACUUGGUCUAUUUUCAAAUUUUGAACUACAUAGGCUUUGGGCAGCAGUGACGUGGCGCCUUUGUUCCCACAGUUGAGGGUCGCAAACACUUUCCCUAAGAUUGUCUACAAGGCAGUGGGACUAUUUCCCCUUGGCUAGGGUGGUGGUUUGGGUGAGAACAUUCUGUCUUUUGCUCCCUACACCAAGUGGCGAACACAAGUGUUACACCUUGGUGGAAAAUUGCGGGAGGGGAAGCGACAAGACUACCUCAUGGGUUUUCAAACUUCAGGUGAUGCGAGUCGAAUGGUUCUGCACAAACUCUAGGAGUCUGAGGUCGAUAUCGUUGGUUUCACGAAGGCCCAGUAUGGAGCACACACUUGGACAAUGGUGACAUUUUGAGGGUAGCAGAGUGUAUGGCCUUUGUUAAUUGUAUCUGGGGAUUUAUAAACAAUUUCUGGAUAGGAGACAUUGUUUAUCACAAGUUAAGGGCCGAGUGCCCACCCUGUACAGCUAAUAUGGUACGUUACCUUGCUGCGAGCACUGACACUCGACACCCCUGAAGUAGUAGAUGCAAUGGAGUGGUCACUACCAACAUCACUGUCAUCAUGUACCUCCUCAGCCUCCUGACCUCCCUGACACCAGCAGCAGAGUAUAACUUGUGAGGAAAGAGUAAUAAAAAGGGAAAGCUAUGGACCUGGAAGGAACUUCUUGACCCAGUGUGACAGGUUUUGUCAUCAGUGGCUGUGCCAAGCUCCCCAUUCCCUGCCUCAUCAAACACUGGUGUCAAAU